UACGAAGGGUGCUAGCGUUGUUCGGAAUUACUGGGCGUAAAGCGCGCGUAGGCGGCUAUACAAGUCAGAGGUGAAAUCCCACGGCUCAACCGUGGAACUGCCUUUGAAACUGUAUAGCUGGAGUGUGUGAGGGGAUGGCGGAAUUCCUAAUGUAGAGGUGAAAUUCGUAGAUAUUAGGAGGAACACCGGUGGCGAAGGCGGCCAUCUGGCACACAACUGACGCUGAGGCGCGAAAGCGUGGGGAUCAAACAGG
rnacentral:rRNA from 1 species